AGAAGUUUAGGAUAAAUCAGUCCAAGAGCCUUCAAAGCCCUUAGUAAACCCAUUAGUUUAACUUCUG
rnacentral:tRNA from 1 species